AUUGAACGCUGGCGGCAUGCCUUACACAUGCAAGUCGAACGGCGGCACGAGGGCUUGCACCUGGGGGCGAAUUUCAAACGGGUGAGGAGGAAAUCGGAACAGUUCCGGGAGUGGAGGAUAGCCCUUCGAAAGCCGGAUUAAUACCGCAUACGGUCUACUGAUGAAAACGAUUGACCUGCAGCCCUCGGACUAUAGGGAUGGCCCAGGGCUGAGUAGCUAGUUGGUGUGGUAUAAGCCUACCAAGGCGACGAUCAGUAACUGGUAUGAGAGUGAGACUAGCCAAACUGGGAGUGAGACACGGCCGACACUCCUACGGGAGGACGCAGUGGGGACUCUUGGACAAUGGGCGAAAGCCUGAUACAGCACUGUCGAGUGUGUGCAGAAGGCCUUAGGGUUGUAAAGUAAUUUUGUAAGGCAAGAAAUACUUGGCUCUACUACGGUAGGGGGAUGACGGUACCGGAAGAAUAAGCACCGGCUAACUACGUG
rnacentral:rRNA from 1 species